UACAGAGGUCUCAAGCGUUGUUCGGAUUCAUUGGGCGUAAAGGGUGCGUAGGCGGCGCGGUAAGUCGGGUGUGAAAUCUCGGAGCUUAACUCCGAAACUGCAUUCGAUACUGCCGUGCUUGAGGACUGGAGAGGAGACUGGAAUUCACGGUGUAGCAGUGAAAUGCGUAGAUAUCGUGAGGAAGACCAGUGGCGAAGGCGGGUCUCUGGACAGUUCCUGACGCUGAGGCGCUGAAGGCCAGGGGAGCAAACGGG
rnacentral:rRNA from 1 species